rnacentral:rRNA from 1 species
GCUACGGCCAUAUCAGCCUGGGUACGCCCGAUCUCGUCUGAUCUCGGAAGCUAAGCAGGGUCGUGCCUGGUUAGUACUUGGAUGGGAGACCGCCUGGGAAUACCAGGUGCUGUAAGCA